rnacentral:lncRNA from 1 species
UUUUUUGUAGCCACAUUAUUACCAUCGUCUGUUUAUCUGGCUGCCCUUUUAGUUUAUAUGCACUCAUUAUUAUUAUUUUUAUUUUAUUUUUUAUUUAUUUUUUGGGGGGAGGGAUGAUUUCCAGUCAUGGUUUUGAGAAUACUUAGUCUAGUACUUGAUAAAUAUUAUUCCAGUUGCUGUAGAUGAACAGGUAGGUUUAAAAUGUUUCAUACACGCAACUUUAUAGUGCUAAGUCCACCAAUGCAAGUGCUCCAAGAAACAUUUUUCAAAUUCAUCUUUUACAUCGAUGUUAUCAGUUAUCAAAGUAAAUAUUAC